UACGUAGGGUGCAAGCGUUAAUCGGAAUUACUGGGCGUAAAGCGUGCGCAGGCGGUUUUGUAAGUCUGUUGUGAAAUCCCCGGGCUUAACCUGGGAACUGCAUUUGUGACUGCAUGGCUAGAGUUUGGCAGAGGGGGGUAGAAUUCCACGUGUAGCAGUGAAAUGCGUAGAUAUGUGGAGGAACACCGAUGGCGAAGGCAGCCCCCUGGGUCAAGACU
rnacentral:rRNA from 1 species